CCAGAACCCUUUGUGACUUAUACCCAUACUGUUGCCUCGGCGCAGGCCGGCCUUUUUCGAUAAGGGCCCCCUGGAGACAGGGAGCAGCCCGCCGGCGGCCAACCCAAACUCUGUUUCUAUAGUGAAUCUCUGAGUAAAAAACAUAAAUGAAUCAAAACUUUCAACAACGGAUCUCUUGGUUCUGGCAUCGAUGAAGAACGCAGCGAAAUGCGAUAAGUAAUGUGAAUUGCAGAAUUCAGUGAAUCAUCGAAUCUUUGAACGCACAUUGCGCCCUCUGGUAUUCCGGAGGGCAUGCCUGUUCGAGCGUCAUUUCAACCCUCAAGCCUGGCUUGGUGAUGGGGCACUGCCUGUAAAAGGGCAGGCCCUGAAAUCUAGUGGCGAGCUCGCCAGGACCCCGAGCGUAGUAGUUACAUCUCGCUCUGGAAGGCCCUGGCGGUGCCCUGCCGUUAAACCCCCAACUUCUGAAAAUU
rnacentral:rRNA from 1 species